rnacentral:rRNA from 1 species
GACAGAGGGGGCAAGCGUUGCUCGGAAUCACUGGGCGUAAAGGGCGCGUAGGCGGGAUGGCAAGUCAGUCGUGAAAUCUCUCGGCUCAACCGAGAAACGUCGGCUGAUACUGCCGUUCUUGAGGGAUGCAGAGGAGACUGGAAUUCCCGGUGUAGCGGUGAAAUGUGUAGAGAUCGGGAGGAACACCGGUGGCGAAGGCGGGUCUCUGGGCAUUUCCUGACGCUGAGGAGCGAAAAGCCAGGGGAGGCAAACGGG